AUUUCUCAGAAAAAUAUGUUUACAAACAUGCACUCUGAAAAAGGAGACUUUGGUAGCCAGUGGAGACCACUCUUUCUAUGCCUCAGUUGGCUUGCAGCAUGAAGUAAGCCUGAGGUGAAGAGCUUCACUUCUGCCCAGCCAGGACCCCCUUGGCUUCUCUGUCCAUUGUGGGGAAGGCAGUGUUGUUUAGUGUUCUUUAUUUUUCACUCACAGCCUCUUGUCCAUUGGGUGACAGGAAAAACACCAACUUGGGUUUUGUGUUAUUUACAUUUUAAGAUCCUAAUUAAGCUCCAUCUGGUGCUGUUUAUGUAAAGGGAAGAGGCCUCUGAUAAGCACAGCUGGGGAGCAGAUUUUCCAGUGCUGCUGUGCCUGUUGUUUUGCUCACUUUCUCCCAGCACAGAGGACCCUCUACAAAUGAUCAGAAAAGUGAAAGAAGUCUGAAGACAAAAAUGUAUCUUUGGAAUUUCACCAAGUCUUCGGAUUUGAAUGGAGAUAGAUGAAUGGCAUGAGACGGAACUUGACACCCCAGAAGAUUCUGGAGAGUCUAGAACUCACUGCCUCUCCUUUAAUGCCCCCUGUCCUUCCCUUUCAGCUCCAUGCCAAAGUUCAUUUGUGGCCCAGCUGAAGAGAAGAAAGGAAAAUUGAAGUAUCUGUGAUCAGAAUGCUGGGUCUUUAGAUUAGGGAGGAACCUGAGAAGACAUUCCACCCAAUAUCCUACUUUUUACAGAAAAAUCUGGGGUUUAUUUACUCCCAUGACACAGCUGUAUCUUCUUCUUCUUCUUCUUCUUCUUUUUUUUUUAAAAGAGAGAGAAGGAGAGAGAGAUCAUGUAGGAGCAGGGUGAGGGACAGAGAAAGAGAGAGAGGGAGAAGCAGACACCCUGCUGAGCAGGGAGCUCCAUGUGGGGCUCAAUCCCAGGACCCUGAGAUCAUGACCCGAGCCCAAGGCAGGUGCCUAACUGAACCACCCAGGUGCCCCACAGUUGUGUCUUCUAAGUGACCAACACUGAUCUAUAGAUAACAUGUCAGAAAUGCAUGUUGUUGCAAAGGGCUAUGGUUUUUAAUGGCCAGAGACAUGUGGGGCAACGAUCAGAAUUCUCUGGCUCUUUAGUAUCCUAUAUAUAUUUUUUAAAACAUGGACUGGGUUAAAAAUUAGAAAUAAACCAGAGUCCUUAUUUACCCUGUGGGUGAGUUCUCCUCUGUGGGCCUGGAGGCUGAGUCUGUGCCAUAACCAUAUUUUCUGCUCAUCUCAGGGUCCAUGGAACUGCAUUCCAUGGCACAGAAGGUCCUAUAUCCAUAGAAGUCCAGACAGCCAUUCAGAUAACUGUGACACUUGAUGGGAUGUGGUCAUGAGUGUUCCCUGCAGAAGAGGAUACUUAUCUGAUGUGGAAGGAGGGCACCAUUGGAAAGGUCAUUUGAUGAUGAAGCUGAAUAUCCCUUUCCAGUCAUAAGAGACUUAUAAAAUGCUUAGGAGGAGCCUCUUUUGUGAGGAAUGCAGGAGUUUCAGAGGCAGGGUCACCUGACAGUCAUAAAUAGGAGGGUGAGUGGGAAAUAGUGGGUGAAAAUGGAAGCUGGUGGUGGGGAGAGGGGGCAUAGGAAGGAUAUAAUAGGGUAUACUUGGGAAGUGUAGAAGGACAGCAGGUGCUAUGGUCAGGAGGCUUCUGAGGGAGGGAUACUGGAGAUAAUUAAGAGCCUAGGGAUUCUUGGAGCAGGUGUAGUUACAAUUUUAAGUGCUAUGAGCCUCUGUUUGCGUAUCAAACCCAUCAUCCUCAAAGUGCCUGUAUAACACGUUCACUCCUUGCCUCACUUCCUGACCUGGCCCAAUACUAUCUCCAAAGGGAACUCUUCUUAUUUCUGAUUGAGGUAUGAAGGCAAUAGGUACUUCACUGGAACACAGGCUUUUUUGUGUGUGAGUUUUUUUUUUUUUUUAAUUUAUUCAUGAGAGACACACAGAGAGGCAGAGACCUAGGCAGAGGGAGAAGCAGACUUGUGUUUUGAAGCUAAAAUGUUAUCAAUCCAAACUGGAUUGUUAUAAAUUUAGAAGAUCAAUUGUAAUCUGCAUGACAUUUAAAAAAAUAACUAAAUAUCUAAAAUAAAUAUAUAAGUAUAUAUUCAAAAAUAUAAAGUAGAGAAUCAAAAAAGUUCACAAUAACAAAAAUCAAGGAAGCUCCAAAGAAUAUGGUACUGGAGGAGACAAAUAUAAGGUAUGUAGAAAUCAAAGAGAAAAAUGGCAGAAAUCCUUAUUGUUAAUUACAUGUAAUGGGGAAAACUCUCCAAAAUGCAGUGACUGACAGAAUGGAGGGGAAAACCAAGAUCUAACCUUAUCCUAUCUACAUAAAACUUGCUUCAUGUGUAAUGUUGAAAAAGAUGAAAAUGAAAGUAUGAAAAAAGUUAUUUUAUAAGCAGUAACAAAAGAGGCAUGGAGUCUAUAUUUAAAAAAACUAGACUUUAAGUCAAAAACUCUUAAAAUAGACAAGGGCAUUAUAUAUCGAUAAAGGUGAAUUUAACAAAUACAUAUAAUUUGAAAGCAUAUAUCAAAAAUAUUCCCCAAAUGGGUGCACCCGGCUGGCUCAGUGGGAGGAGCAUGGGACUCCUGAUCUCAGGGUCAUGAGUUUGAGUCCCACGUUGGGUGUAGAGGUUACUUAAAAAUAAACUUUUAUAGAGUAAGGAGUGUGUGUGUGUGUGUGUGUGUGUGUGUGUGUGUGUGGUGAUCACUUAAGGUUAACAAAAACAUGUAAAAAACUUCAUACAUGUCACUUUAAGUAAGAACUACAGUGGCUGCCACCUGACUCUUUCCUGUUUGAGUGAAGGGUGAAAAAUGUACCAGUCAGGUGUGGGUGGCUAAGCUAAUGCAAGGUGGCUGCUUUGUAUGCAUGCACUUCCAGAGUGUGUUGGGGCAAAGAAAACAUUUCUGUGGAUCAUAAGUGGGUCCUGUUGAAACCAGAUGUGAGGUUAUCUAAGCACUCGUUUGAAAGGACUCACUGCGAAGGCAACUGGAACUCUUUGGAGAGAGGCUGAAAGGAAUGCUAGCUUCUGGGGGACAACAGAAGGAGGAAGUGGGCAUCUGGAAAAGCCAAGCAUAUGAACACAUAAAAGAAAGUGGGAGAACCCUGCCGAUAGUCCAGAGAUGGAUUCUAAAGGAUUACAGAAGUGUCCCACCAGAGUAUGAAUCAGGUCAAAACAUCAGCCAUGCCCAGAACAAAAAGCCAGCUUCUCACAGUGCCAGGUACUGAGAGAUGCCUUGAGCUAUGCAGACCAUUUCUUCUGAAUGAAACUUUCUUUUUGGCCUAGCAAUCUUCAUUAAAUAUUAGGCCAGCUGAAGACUUUAGGACGAUGGUCAUUAUAGAUUGCCCUUUCUUCCAAAUCCAUUUGGCAUUGGUGGUCAACUGAAUGAGACAAGGAUUCUUAGGUCAGUCCAUUUUCCUGAAUCAUAAGACAUAAAUCAGAGCCGAGUAUGAAAACUUCAGACUGUCUGUGACUCUGUACCUCUGUAAAUGGGGAUGAGAGCUUCCCCUCUGGCCCUUGGGCAGAUGCCUGCUUAUUUGUAUUCAGUGACUGAAUUGGGGUCCUGGUGACAUAAGCUGUGCAGACUUGGAAGCAGUAAAUAAUUCUAAUGAGAAGCCUGCUAUAUACAGCCCAAAGCUAUAGAUAUUUCCAUAGCGUAAGCCAACAAGCGAAGAGGGAGAGACCCUUUAUGGCCAGCUGAGGACACCCACACACAUCUUGCAGAAGACUGAGACAUUGCCUGCCUGUGUUUCCUUCUAGAGGAGAGAAAGCAGAAACCUCCCUUAUACCAAUUCAUCUGGAUGUGAACCCACAUUGAAACACUUGAAAAUUUUGAUAAAAAUAUCUUCUCUCGCCUCAAAAUGGAAAUGCAAAUUUUGAAAGCCUGACAGUUUUUUAAAAUGAGUUCUGGAAAAACAGCUCUUGUCAAAGCAAAAUGUCUCUGUUCAAAAGCAUCUAGAAGCGCUGCAGAAUUUUACCUCCCUCUAAAAGGUUGCAAGAUUCUCUCUUUUUAAACUUUUAGACUUUUGUUCAUGGUUACUGAUCCAAUCUAAGGUGAAACUGUUAAAAUUUCUGGGAAGACUUGGUGACAUUUCAAAGUAUUCUUAUUGCUGUCUCUACACAAGAAAACCUGUGUGCUCAUGUUCCUUUGUUUAAUGUCUCAUUCAGAUUUUAAAAAUAAAUGUUAAAAAAUCAGCAUCUAGCAUUUUCUGAAUAAUGGAGAUAUUUCAGUCUUAUGAAAUCUGCAUAUUGUAUCAUAGAAAUUAUUUUGAUUAGGAAACAGACCUUUGGUGAAUGCAGUUUGAUAGUACUAACUCUGCUCAGUUCAAAAUGGCAUUUUGAAGAGCAAAGGAUAACAUUUAAAAAAUGUUAGACUAUAGUAGUGUUUUCUUCUGUUACUAAUUUUUAUACUGUUAAGGAAACACUGUUAAAUGUGUUUUCCUGCUGUCCUAAAGUUUUUUUCUCAAAACUUUGGUAUUUUGGAAGAAUGGCCAUUUGUGAUGUCUUCAAGGAUCUUCUGAGCAAUCUUUUGAGGGUUCAGCAAAGAUAUUUAGACCAGUAGGUUCAGUCUUGCUCUUUAUCUUUUAUUUGAUAACAAAAUAGAUGGGAAAAGCACACCUUCCCACAGUGUGUGUGCUGCCCUGUUGGGUGCUGGAAAGAUUUAGGAGCAUUGUUACUAUUUCCCUGGUACUUCCUCCUUGGGGCUGUGAUAUUAAUAGAGGUGUGCAGUUUAGUUGUGACCAGCUGCCAAGUGGCUAAGGACUGAGAAAACAGAGGGAUAUCUGGGAAAUAUUUGGCAUAGCCCAAUGGCCUUUUAAACUAGCCCAAGAUGGCAGAACAAUGUCUAGCAAGAUGGAGUUGGGGGUCCCCACAGCAGCUCUUCAAACCUCUCUCCAAGCAAAGGUUGAGCUUGACUCUGAUCUUGGAAUGCUGCAUAUCAUUUGUCAGUGUCUUUCUGUGACCACUGAACUCAGCUCACCCCCUCAGCUUGGCUCUUGCCUCUCAGUCCAGAUGUGAUGUGUUGGCUACUCUCUAUGUGAACUCUUGGGGGUGGGCCUGCUUUUUUUUCUGGCUUUAUGGGCUGCAUGCUGCAAUACAUGCCUAAUUUACUGACAUGGGAAAAUCAUGAUCAGGAAAGCACAACUCUUUGGUUGGAUUUACCUAGUAACAGUCAAGCUCACUGGUUUAGUUUAAGCUGACAGGCUUGACAUAGAGAAACUGGGUAUAAUAACAGAGAAGCAAGGAAAAAGGGUUAUUGAUCUGUCAGGAAUGGGGAAGUUCAGCAGGCAAGCUUGGGUUGCUUUAAAGGCACUUAGGGGACACCUGGGUGGCUUAGUUGGUUAAGCAUCUGACUCCUGAUUUUGGCUCAGGUCAUGAUCAGAGUCAUGGGAUGUAGCCCCACAUUGGGCUGUGUACUCAAUGUGGAGUCUGCUUC